rnacentral:lncRNA from 1 species
AUAGACACAAUAUUGCCCGACCAAUAGCAUCGCUCCACAACCUACAACAGCACAAACAUUGCCCCCACCAACACCAUAGCAUACACCACAACUAGGAAGCAACGUGGGGUCGCGUACUCUCACAACGACUAGGCACCGCUCUACCACAAGCGGUGAUGGGCUCCGCUGCUUCAUAAAGAAGAAGAUUGGAAAAACAACUUAAUGAAGGGGGAAAAUGAGAGAGCAAGAUGUGCAGCAGAGCUCGUCGUCACUGUUGGAAGCGACGUCGACCUUAAGAAGAAAAAGAUCGGAACAACAGCUUCAUGAAAGGAGAGGUGCUACUACAACACGGCGCUAGUCGUCCCUGUUGGAAGCAGCAUCGACCUGAAGACGAAGAAAAUUGGAACAGUAGCUUCGAAAACAACGGUGCCAGCAGUUGGGAGAAGUUGAACCUUUCGAUUUGGAAAAAUGAAUCAGGGUUAGGUUGGUAGAUUAUGGUGUAGAAGUGUGUGG